rnacentral:rRNA from 1 species
CACGUAGGGGACGAGCGUUGUCCGGAUUCAUUGGGCGUAAAGCGCGUGUAGGCGGCCUUGUAAGUCCGUUCUGAAAGCCCCGGGCUCAACCUGGGAACCGCAUUGAGACGGGCGACUCGAGUUCGGGAGAGGAUGGUGGAAUUCCCAGUGUAGAGGUGAAAUCGUAGAUAUUGGGAAGAACACCGAGGGCGAAGGCAGCCAUCUGGACCGACACUGACGCUGAG